AGCUCCAAUAGCGUAUAUUAAAGUUGUUGCGGUUAAAAGCUCGUAGUUGGAUUUCUGUUGAAGACGGCCGGUCCACGCUAUGCGUGUGCAUCUGGUACGGCUUUGGCAUCCUCGUGGGGAACGUCACUGUGCUUCAUUGCAUGGUACGAGAUUCACGACUUUUACUUUGAGGAAAUUAGAGUGUUCACGGCAGGCAAUCGCCUUGAAUACAUUAGCAUGGAAUAAUAAUAUAGGACUUUAGUUCUAUUUUGUUGGUUUCUAGAACUGAAGUAAUGAUUAAUAGGGAUAAUUGGGGGGCAUUUGUAUUAACGCGUCAGAGGUGGAAUUCUUAGAUUGCGUUACGACAAACUACUGCGAAAGCAUUUGCCAAGGAUGUUUUCAUUGAUCAAG
rnacentral:rRNA from 1 species